rnacentral:pre_miRNA from 2 species
UCUUACAGAUGAGCAAAGGAAGUGGUUUCUUGAGAUAGUAUCUUCUCCUGGAGAAGAUGCUGUGAA